rnacentral:antisense_RNA from 1 species
AAUAACCAAAUAUGAUACUCGGGCUAAGGGUCAAGUUGGUAGUUUUUCUUACAUCUCCCCCUCCCGGAUCCCAGGUAUCAUAUACGCCCCCAAAAUAAAGAGCCUUGAACACUAGAAGAAAAGCACCUAGACGUAACAAGAUUAAGUGAAUACCUAAAAUUGUAGUCAUUUUAUUUUGAUCUUGCCA